UUAGUGGCGGACGGGUGAAGUAACGCGUGGGUAACCUGCCUCAUACAGGGGGGAUAACAGCUAGGAAACAGCCGCUAACACCGCAUAAGCACACAGCACCGCAUGGUGCAGGGUGAAAAUAUUUAUAGGUAUGAGAUGGACCCGCGUCUGAUUAGCUAGUUGGUAGGGUAAAGGCCUACCAGGGCGACGAUCAGUAGCCGGCUUGAGGGAGUGACCGGCCACAUUGGGACUGAGACACGGCCCAAACUCCUACGGGAGGCAGCAGGUGGGGAAUAUUGCACAAUGGGGGAAACCCUGAUGCAGCGACGCCGCGUGAGUGAAGAAGUAUUUCGGUAUGUAAAGCUCUAUCAGCAGGGAAGAAAAUGACGGUACCUGACUAAGAAGCCCCGGCUAACUACGUGCCAGCAGCGGC
rnacentral:rRNA from 1 species